UACGUAGGGACCAAGCGUUGUUCGGAUUUACUGGGCGUAAAGGGCGCGUAGGCGGCAUGUCAAGUCACUUGUGAAAUCUCCGGGCUUAACUCGGAACGGUCAAGUGAUACUGUCGCGCUAGAGUGCGGAAGGGGCAAUCAGAAUUCUUGGUGUAGCGGUGAAAUGCGUAGAUAUCAAGAGGAAUACCUGAGGUGAAGACGGGUUGCUAGGCCGACACUGACGCUGAAGCGCGAAAGCCAGGGGAGCAAACGGG
rnacentral:rRNA from 1 species